rnacentral:misc_RNA from 1 species
CAGGCUUUAAAGAAUCACACUACUGGCACAUCUCGAACACGCCGCGCCGGGCUGUGCCGUGAGCGCGGGCGGUGCUGUCCGCUGCCGGCCAAUCUUACACACGUAUAACAUGUAUUAAUAACCUAAAAUAAUAAAAAAUUAAUAACCUAAAAAGAAAAUGUUGGAUCGUAAAGUUGUAAAAUUCGGUAUACCAUUUAUGAUUUUCGUUAUUGGGGGAUCAUUCGGCCUUCGAGAAUUUACAGAACUACGUUACAUAUACAAAAAAACUCGAUAUAUAAAAGAUGAAGUAAAGGGCACGGGAAUUAAGCUAAAACCAUCACAAGAAAUUACAUUAGAAAGAGAGUAUGAAAAUUUGCAAAAGGCAGACCUUGACAACUGGGAAAAUACCCGAAUAAAGAGACCAUGGCCUGAAUAGUCAUAGAAUCUUAGAUUUUCUCUAGAUUCUUUACUCGAUAAAAUCAGUACAAUAAUAUAUGAUUGUUUGGUCUUCAAAUUAAAUAUUCAUUUGCUUUGCGGCGAUUCAUCUGUCUGGCCCUAAGAGAUGA